GGAGUUGUGGCUCAGUGGUAGAGUGCUCACUUCGCACAUGUGAAGCACUGGGUUUGAUCCUCAGCACCA
rnacentral:tRNA from 1 species